rnacentral:rRNA from 1 species
UACAGAGGUCUCAAGCGUUGUUCGGAUUCAUUGGGCGUAAAGGGUGCGUAGGCGGCGCGGUAAGUCGGGGGUGAAAUCUCGGAGCUUAACCCCGAAACUGCAUUCGAUACUGCCGUGCUUGAGGACUGGAGAGGAGACUGGAAUUUACGGUGUAGCGGUGAAAUGCGUAGAUAUCGUAAGGAAGACCAGUGGCGAAGGCGGGUCUCUGGACAGUUCCUGACGCUGAGGCACGAAGGUCAGGGGAGCAAACGGG